rnacentral:rRNA from 1 species
CGCGUAGGCGGCUCGGUAAGGUUGCGGUGAAAGCCCGGGGCUCAACCCCGGGUCGGCCGUGGCAACUGCUGGGCUGGAGCACUGUAGAGGCAGGUGGAAUUCCGGGUGUAGCGGUGGAAUGCGUAGAGAUCCGGAAGAACACCGGUGGCGAAGGCGGCCUGCUGGGCAGUAGCUGACGCUGAUGCGCGACAGCGUGGGGAGCAAACA